rnacentral:rRNA from 1 species
GAUGAACGCUGGCGGCGUGCCUAACACAUGCAAGUCGAGCGAACAGAUGAGGAGCUUGCUCCGCGGACGUUAGGGGCGGACGGGUGAGUAACACGUGGAUAACCUACCUAUAAGACUGGGAUAACUUCGGGAAACCGGAGCAAAUACCGGAGAAGAUAUUGAAGCGCGGGGGGCAAUAGUGAAAGACGGUGGUGCGGGAACGUAUAGAUGGAUCCGCGCCGCAUUAGCUAGUUGGUAAGGUAACGGCUUACCAAGGCAACGAUGCGUGACCGACCUGAGAGGGUGAUAGGCCACACUGGAACUGGGCCACGGACCAUACUCCUGCGGGAGGCACCAGUCGGCAAUCUUCCGCAAUGGGCGAAAACCUGACGGAGCAACGCCGCGUGAGUGAUGAAGGUCUUCGGAUCGUAAAACCCUGUUAUUAGGGAAGAACAAAUGUGUAAGUAACUAUGCACGUCUUGACGGUACCUAAUCAGAAAGCCCCGGCUAACUACGUG